rnacentral:tRNA from 1 species
ACUGACCUGUCAGACAGUAAAGAAUCUGCUUGCAAUGCAGGAGACCUGGGUUCGAUCCCUGGGUCAGGA